AAUGGGAGAAUGACAAAUCAAUUUUUUCUCUUGAUUUUUAAUUUUUUCCUCCUAAAAAAAUCCAAAUCCAACUAAAAAUGUUAAAAAUAAAGAGAAAUCUUAUUUGUCAUUCUCCCAUU
rfam:Gossypium hirsutum cultivar TM-1 chromosome 11, whole genome shotgun sequence